UGGUCUCUUUGUUUGGCAAAUAGUUUUUAUGGAGUAAAGAAGUUCAUUGGCUCUCUGGUUAUUUUCACCUUCACAAGUUAAAAAAAUAGUAGGACAUUAGUAAUAAUGAAAGAAAUAUGGAGAAUCUUGGGUAAAAAAAAGAGUACUACUCUCCUUGUUUCAUUUCAUGUGUCUUACUUUGAUUAAACUUGAUGUUUAAUAAAGUAAGAAAGACUUUUAAAUACAGUGUUAUUGAACCAAAGAUGUGUAUAAUGUAUCACACUGAACUUAAAUCUUGUGAUCUUAAGAAUAUCAUACAGAAUAUUGAGUUAACAAGUUAUUAAACAUAAAAAGUGACAUUCUUUUUGAACCUGCAGACUAAAAAGAAAAGUAAGAUGCAAAUUGAACGGAGGAUGUAAAAGUUUUACCUUGUUGAGAGGGCUUGAUUACAAAGAGAUACUAACAAGAAACAGUUUACAGACAUACCAGUUCCUGUAGCCCAAAAAAUAUGAAUACCCAGAGCAUGGAGUACUAGAGAGUAAAAUCUAGUAGCAUCCAACAAAUACAGUAGCUGGUAAGUCUUGACAUAAAUACAAAUUCUUGAAGUACUUGCCAUAGAUACAAUAAUGUUAGUUAGCAUCGCCAAGAUCAACAUGAUGAUAGAAUCUUAUCAGAGUAUAGGCAAGUCUUGAUCAUGAACAGCCUUAGACAUUAGAAGCAUAAGAACAGUAGUCACCAGUCUAAACCCAUCAGUGUCUUUAACUCAUUUUGUUUACAGGAAUGAUAAGAAAUGCAAAAAUUUGCACCAAUAAACCAUCAAAAAUAGAAAACAUAGCCCCAAUACUCGGCUUUAAAUCAACAUUCAAAUAUCUUCAACAUAAUUCUCAUCAUUUAUUGCAAAUCCAUAAGGCUUUCACAUCCAAAUAUUAGUGCAUGUCGAAACUUAAACCCAUCCCCAAAUAUUCGGUCAGCAAUCAAAGUGAAGGAGAAGAAAACCCCAAAAUAGAAACUCAAAAAAUUAGAUCAAAAUCAUUAAUAAGAAGAAUAUACUAACCUUAAAAUCUACAAAUUGAAGAAGAAAAUCCUAAAAUUACUCAAAAAUUGAAGUGCGAAUUUGAGAGCUGAAAUUGAAGUGGUGGUUGUAGCAAUGGAGGGGUUGAAAUUGAAGUCGGAGAAGCAGUAUCGUUCGGUUUGAAUUUCCGGCAAUAGCUCCAAAAUGGUGGUCGGAGCACCAGCGGAGUAGUGAUGGUCGGAGCAACUCCAAAAUGGUCGGAGCAGUUCCAAAAUGGUCGGAGCAACACAUACAAGUGUAGUGGUGGUCGGAGGGAAUCGAUGAAAAGCUUUGAGGGAGAAAGCAAAUUGAUUGAGAGCAAAUCGAUUUCUUAAUAUUUUGAGGGGGGAAAUCAAUUGAGAGCAGUACAGAAAGGGUUUUGGAUAUAGUUUCUAAAUAUUUAGGCAGCCUUGUCCAAUAUUAUGGAGGGAAUAAAAAUAAGCGACCCAAUAGAUUUUUUUUUUCGCAAUUGGGUGUUGC
rnacentral:lncRNA from 1 species